ACUAUUUUUAAUUAUUUUUUAAAAAAGAAUAUAUAAUUAGUACCUUUUGUAUCAGGGUUAUUUAAUUUAGAAUUUAAUUUAUGUUUCUCGAUAUUAAGUGAGUUAAAUAAAUGUUUAAAUGUUGAAUAAUUAUAUCAAUUUAUUUAGUAGUGAAAAUUUUUCGUAGUUAAAGGUAUCUUGUUAUAUUAAUUUCAUAAUAGAAGGGAUAAGCUUUUUAUUAAAAUAUAUUAUGUAUUAUUUUAUAAUAAAUUAGGAUUAAAAUUAGCCAUAUUAUUAAUUUGUUUUAAAUCUUUUAUGGAUAUAAGAUUAAUAUAUUAUUUAAAUAAAUAAUUAAUAAGAAUAAAGUAUAGUAAUUUAUAAUGAAUAAAUUAGUAUUUUUUUUUUUCUAUAAAAUAUAACUCGCAGUUUGUAGAAUAGUUUAUCAAAAACAUUUUUUUAUUAAUAUAAAAUAAGGCCUGCCCAGUGUGAUAUAAACGGCUGCGGUAUUUUGACUGUGCUAAGGUAGCAUAAUAAUUUGUUUUUUAAUUGAAAUCUGGAAUGAAUGGUUUUAUCUAUGAUUAUGAUUAAUUAUAGAAUAAAUAAUUUAUGUUUUUAGUAAAAACACUAUAAUUGAAUAAAGGGACGAUAAGACCCUAUAAGCUUUAUUUAUGUAUUUAAUAGAAUUAAUAAUUUAAUGUUUUUUGUUUUAUAUUGAAUUUUGCUGGGGCAGUAAUAUUAUUUGAUUUAAUAUAAUUUAACAUAUAAUAUAUAUAUGAAUAUAUGAUCUUCUUAUUGAGAUAAAUAGUAAAAGUUACUGUAGGGAUAACAGCGUAAUAAUUUUGGAGAGGCCUUAUUGAUAAAAUUGAUUGCGACCUCGAUGUUGAAUUAAAAUUUCUUUUUGUUGUAGCAGGCAUAGAAGAUGGUUUGUUCAACCUUUAAAAUUUUACAUGAUUUGAGUUCAAAUCGGUUUAAGCCAGAUUGGUUUCUAUCUUUUAUAUAAUUUAAUUUAUGUAAGUACGAAAGGGACACAUAAAUUUU
rnacentral:rRNA from 1 species